UUCUUCGAUCUGAGUUGCUUGGUGCUUAUUGAGUGUUUUGAGACAACUUGCCACUUGAUUUAAGGUUAUCUUCGAGUUAUUCGACGUACUUGAUUCGAAUUUUUGUACGAUUUGUCAUUCUGAUUAAAUUCAAAGUCGAACUGACGCAUGUAUAAUCAAUUUACACUAAUGUUUGUAAGUGUGACUCACUUGAAAGUCUGUACUGCACUCAAAUGAUGAUACCUCAACAAGAAUAAAUUUAAGAAUGACAGCUUCUCAACGCAAUUGUGAACAUAAUAAGCUCCGUUGGUGACGGAUGCAUGUUCGAGAUUUUGUCAGGUUUUAAACGAAACUUCUUCUGUUUCAGACUCACAAAUGGAAGUGGUUUCAUAUCCGCAGAAGAUAGGUUUGACAGACCAGCUAACCAGUUACUGGCAUCAGUACCAAUCUUCAGUCAACGCUGGCAUCAAAUUCACGGAUUAGUAACAUUUUAAAAGAAUUUUUUUAUUUCCGGUAAUGGUGGAGGAUCGCUAUAAUGGUCGCCAAGAGCGAAAGCGCUGAUUAUCAACAUUAUUUUUGACCACUUCAAUGUUGUUGAUAGAACUAUCGUUCGGAAGCAUAUGUUUGGAAAGUUGGAAAGCUUUAACGCCAGAUGUAUCAUAAAAUGUUCCGUUCAGUCACCGUUUCCGCAGUUCUAAGCAAAAGAUGAUGAUUAAUAACGGUUCUUCCGCAAGAUUCGUCGAGGUACCCGCGGCUAUGCCAUUCAAGGUUUUUUUACUAAUCUUCAAAGAGAAGGCCUGUUAUUUGUUCGUAAUAGUUUUGUGAUAUCAACUAUGGAACUUCAACAUCGAAAAAAGUACAUGUAAAUUCGUUAUCGUCUGGGGCCAUAUAUAGACAUACAUAUACCAAUAGUUUUGAUUAACAUUCAUCGAAUAGUAAAUUGCAUAGACUGGCUCAUUGGGUAACAACAAUGUACAAUUGUUGUGACUCAAUUUCCAGACUCACAUGACUAUUUGAUACCCGAGUAACACAAGUAAGACUGCAAUGGACGCAUUUCAGAAAAUCGUGAUUAACUAUUGGCGCCAUUUUUGUCCGACGAAUCCUUGAUUUCAUCAAUUUUAUGGAAAUUAAUUCUGGGAACGGUUACUUUCGGAAAUGGCCAAGCAGUGUUAGGAUCUAUAGAAACUGGAUAUAGAAAUCGAUUAGUUAUUUCUUCCAAACUUUGACCCCAAGAACUAUUCAGAAUGAAAUCCAUCGUUGCUCCAUCAGGAAGCAAAG
rnacentral:misc_RNA from 1 species